GACAGAGGUGCCGAGCGUUAGGCGGGAUCACUGGGCUUAAAGCGUGUGUAGGCGGAUCUGUAAGUACCUUGUGAAAUCCCACGGCUCAACCGUGGAACUGCUUGGUAUACUGCGGGUCUUGAGCCACCUAGGGGCAAGUGGAACAAACGGUGGAGCGGUGAAAUGCGUAGAUAUCGUUUGGAACGCCAAUGGUGAAAACAACUUGCUGGGGGUGUGCUGACGCUGAGACACGAAAGCCAGGGGAGCAAACGGG
rnacentral:rRNA from 1 species